CUCGUAGGCGGCCAACUAAGUCAGACGUGAAAUCCCUCGGCUUAACCGGGGAACUGCGUCUGAUACUGGAUGGCUUGAGUUUGGGAGAGGGAUGCGGAAUUCCAGGUGUAGCGGUGAAAUGCGUAGAUAUCUGGAGGAACACCGGUGGCGAAGGCGGCAUCCUGGACCAACACUGACGCUGAGGAGCGAAAGCCAGGGGAGCAAACGG
rnacentral:rRNA from 1 species